GGACCCGCGAGGGUGCGGUCCGCCCCGCUCCGCGCGCGCCCAGGCCCGGGGGCCGGCCGGGGGCUGUGGCCCUCCCUGGGCGGGAGCGGGGUAAGCAGAGGCGCGCGGGUAGGCGCGCGCGGCUGGUCCAGGGCGCGGUGGGCAGAGGACCCGCGCCGGUGUACUGCACCGCGGGCCGCCGCGGGUCUGGAAGAGCCGCCUAGGGGUUCUUUCCGAUGCUCUCUGACUUGGGGCGUAGGGACGCCUGGUAGAGCUGGCCGAAAGCCAGAAUUGGGGUAGGGGGAGUGAGGCACUAGUCCUUGCCGACAGGCACAACCCCCUUCCAGCCAAAACCUUUAGUCCUAGCGUGCCCCUCCCAGGCGAGGAGGGCUGGAGAAACUCAGGACCCCUCCCCUUGUCCACUGUGCGGCACGGAAGGUAUCAGCCCGCGCCUUCCAUGCUGGCGCUGAUGCACAGUUGCACAGUUUAAGGACCGCGGUGCACCCAAGGACCCUUGCAAGCAGCGGAAUGAUCAUGGGGAGAGCUCAGGCACUCUGUGAAGCUAGCCUGAGUGAAGGUUACUUGGUGCAAAUGGCAGAGAGAGGACUAGUAAGGGGCAAGCAGAGCUAGGGUCUCGGACCCACAGACAAGGCACUAAGCUGAAUAUAGUCUAGAUUCUCAGAUGGAUCUUCCCGGAGUCAUCCUUAAUUAUUCAGGCUCCAGAGUUUCGGAGAAGGCCUGUCCCCAGUUCCAAACAGUUCUCAUGCCCAUGACCCUUUUUCAUCUGCCCAGCAAUGGAGUUGGGCUCUUCGACGGAUGGAAGGCAGAGAAAAUUCUUCCAGAGGAUUGCUACUCUGAUUUUCUUCAGAUGCUAUUUCAAGGACACAGGUGUUAUGGAACAGGUUAUAUGGGCAAUGACCAAACAGACUCCAUUUUGCCCGGAGACUCCAUGUCAUGUAAGAAAUGCUUCUCCCUUGAGAACACCCCAAGGGAGUGUGAAUAAAGGUCCCAUCUCAAGCUUUAGGAUCCACUCCGUGAUUUAUUG
rnacentral:lncRNA from 1 species